rnacentral:rRNA from 1 species
UACGUAGGGGGCAAGCGUUGUCCGGAUUUAUUGGGCGUAAAGCGCGUGUAGGCGGCCACACAGGUCCGCUGUGAAAACUCGAGGCUCAACCUCGAGCUGUCGGUGGAAACCGUGUGGCUAGAGUCCGGAAGAGGAGACUGGAAUUCCCGGUGUAGCGGUGGAAUGCGCAGAUAUCGGGAGGAACACCCGUGGCGAAGGCGGGUCUCUGGGCAGUAACUGACGCUGAGGAGCGAAAGCGUGGGGAGCGAACAGG